GUCCAAAACCUAGCAUUCUAAAUAUCAUAGCACAGCCGCCGUUCCCUUUCAGAGAACAAGAGGCCGCUCGGAGGGGGAGGAGAGACAAAGGGAGGAACUCAGCGAUUUGCGAAGAGAUGAGGGCCAAGUGGAAGAAGAAGCGAAUGAGGAGACUUAAGAGGAAGCGCCGAAAGAUGAGGCAGAGAUCGAAGUAGGUGAUGAAGGUGUCAGCACCCUUGUGUCAACAUCUCACUGAAUGUGGUGUCUAUCCUGAUUCAUCCACCUGAUGUUGAGUGUGUUAUAGGAGGCGAAGCUACCUUCUGUCCUUUAAUUACUUGUUUGGCCGUAAUAGAAGUUAGAUGUUCUGCUUGACAGCGUAAUUCUCUUGUGUUUUGUUUAACCAUUGAGAACUUGUUUUAAGACAUUUUAUCUAGAAACAAUCCAAUGCCAACAUCGGGAUUCCAUCAAGUUUUAUUUGGAAA